UACGGAGGGUGCAAGCGUUACUCGGAAUUACUGGGCGUAAAGGGCGCGUAGGCGGCUUGAUGUGUCAAAGGUGAAAUCCCUCGGCUCAACUGAGGAACUGCCUUUGAAACUGUCUGGCUUGAGGCCGGGAGAGGGUAGCGGAAUUCCCAGUGUAGCGGUGAAAUGCGUAGAUACUGGGAGGAACACCGGUGGCGAAGGCGGCUACCUGGACCGGUUCUGACGCUGAUGCGCGAAAGCGUGGGGAUCAAACAGG
rnacentral:rRNA from 1 species